UGAACCACCAUGUAGUUGCUGAGAAUUGAACUCAGGACCUCUAGAAGAGCAGCCAGUGCUCUUAACCACUGAGCCAUCUCUCCAGCCCAGAAGAGUGAAUCUUUGUUAAUUGUUGUUCCUUUCAUUAAACAUCCAUGACCUUGUUUUCCACAUGUCUGCUGGCCUAGUUUGUCUGUUCUCUUUGUUAUUAUCUGGCAGUUUAGAAACCCUUUUGGAGACUUUCUGUGAAUAUACACAAAUCUCAUGAAACAGGAUUUUUUUUUUAUAUGUUUUGUUCGUUAUCUUUCUCUGCACACUGCCCAAUUUGAACAAACAUCUGAAUGAAGUGGAAUAUUAAUUGCAUAAAAUAUUGAAUUAGUAGAAAAAGGGUACCUGUUUAAUCACCUUGGAGAUGUUACUCUGGCUAUCUGUUCAAACCUACUAGAGUUUCUGUUCAAACUUCAACCUUGAAAACUCACCCCAUUUAUAUAAAAUGCUGCUGUGUAUACCAGGGGUACCUUGCUGGUCUUUUGUGCCUACCCUGUCCCAUCCUUAGUCUGUUCUUAGCAUUUUAAAGAGCCCAUCUCUUGAAAACAUAGAUCUAAUUAGGCAAUCAUCAUAUCUCAAGACAACAUCUGAAUAACUGAGUCAACUGACCUUUCUGAUGUCCUUUUCCUCCUGCAGUAGUUCUCAAAGUAUGUUUGGCUGUGUCAUCCUUGAACAGUCUCUGUGUAGAACUGGCACUCCAAAAUCUUUACUAGCUUCUGCCAUGCUUUUACCCUUGGGAACUCCAUUCUAUUCCCCGAAGAGAUUCAGUCUUUGGAAGAUAAUUGAUGAACUAUUUGAUAUUUCACUUGUGUCCCCUUGUCAUUUUAUGGUCAUGCCUUAAUAGUUUUCUGCAUCCCAGUAGAUGAUGAGGACCAAGGUAGACCAUGUACCAUCCAGAGUCACAAACAAGGAAAGGACAACUGGGGAAACCAUAGAAACUGAAGAGUGAAGCAAGAUUAUAAUCUGGUUAACCUUGGCUAUAGAUGAUACAAUAGGAAAAGGCUUACUUGCUUUAAGUGUAUAUGUGUCCAGAUAGAGACAAAAGACUCUUGUAUGUAUGCUUGGUACUACUUUGAAAUAAUCAAUGGAGCAAGCUGACCACGGACUUAUGAUACAAAAAGUAAAAAACAA